rnacentral:rRNA from 1 species
UUUUAAUGGCCGCGGUAUUUUGACCGUGCAAAGGUAGCAUAAUCAUUAGUUUAUUAAUUGUGAACUUGUAUGAAUGGUUGGACGAAAUAUUGACUGUUUCAUUAUUAUUAUUAUAAUUUGAAUUUUUAGUUAAAAUGCUUAAAUUUUUUUAAAGGACGAGAAGACCCUAUAGAUCUUUAUUAUUUAAUUGUUUUUGUUUUUAGUUUAUUUUUUAUUUAAUAAUUGAAUUAUUUGGUUGGGGUGACAUUAAGAUAUAAAUAACUCUUAUUUUUUUUUUCAAUUAUGUUUGUUUAUAUGACCUUUUAUUAUUGUUUUAAGAUUAAGAUACCUUAGGGAUAACAGCGUAAUUUUCUUUGAGAGUUCUUAUCGACAAGAAAGAUUGCGACCUCGAUGUUGGAUUAAGAUUAUAAAUAGGUGAAGAUACUUAAUUAUUAAGUCUGUUCGACUUUUAAAUUCUUACAUGAUCUGAGUUCAAACCGGA